CCGGUAAACGGCGGCCGUAACUAUAACGGUCCUAAGGUAGCGAAAUUCCUUGUCGGGUAAGUUCCGACCUGCACGAAUGGCGUAAUGAUGGCCAGGCUGUCUCCACCCGAGACUCAGUGAAAUUGAACUCGCUGUGAAGAUGCAGUGUACCCGCGGCAAGACGGAAAGACCCCGUGAACCUUUACUAUAGCUUGACACUGAACAUUGAGCCUUGAUGUGUAGGAUAGGUGGGAGGCUUUGAAGUGUGGACGCCAGUCUGCAUGGAGCCGACCUUGAAAUACCACCCUUUAAUGUUUGAUGUUCUAACGUAGGCCCCUUAUCGGGGUUGCGGACAGUGUCUGGUGGGUAGUUUGACUGGGGCGGUCUCCUCCUAAAGAGUAACGGAGGAGCACGAAGGUUGGCUAAUCCUGGUCGGACAUCAGGAGGUUAGUGCAAUGGCAUAAGCCAGCUUGACUGCGAGCGUGACGGCGCGAGCAGGUGCGAAAGCAGGUCAUAGUGAUCCGGUGGUUCUGAAUGGAAGGGCCAUCGCUCAACGGAUAAAAGGUACUCCGGGGAUAACAGGCUGAUACCGCCCAAGAGUUCAUAUCGACGGCGGUGUUUGGCACCUCGAUGUCGGCUCAUCACAUCCUGGGGCUGAAGUAGGUCCCAAGGGUAUGGCUGUUCGCCAUUUAAAGUGGUACGCGAGCUGGGUUUAGAACGUCGUGAGACAGUUCGGUCCCUAUCUGCCGUGGGCGCUGGAGAACUGAGGGGGGCUGCUCCUAGUACGAGAGGACCGGAGUGGACGCAUCACUGGUGUUCGGGUUGUCAUGCCAAUGGCACUGCCCGGUAGCUAAAUGCGGAAGAGAUAAGUGCUGAAAGCAUCUAAGCACGAAACUUGCC
rnacentral:rRNA from 1 species